CAUAAAAUAAAGGGGAAACAACUUCAUAUACAACGGACAUCACUUAAUGAGUUGCAUAUAAUUGCUAAUCGGGCACCGACCGAUUCCAUGUAACGAACGAACGAGACUAUCACUGGACAUUGGCACCAAAGCAUUGUUUCCAUCAGAGAACAUCGUCGAUAUUCAUCACCUUUUAAAGUCUGAAAGAAAAUGUUGUGCAGAACAGAUUUAAGAACUCCAAAGAAUUCCAGUGAAAUAUUUCUUCUCAACUGAGAUUGAUAGAAACAUUUCUCUUGUGAAAUGUUUGGAAUGUCCACAAGAUUAUUUUCUACUGAAAUUAAACUUGGAUAAUUUUCAAAGGAAUCUCAGAGUAUUUUCAGACACCAAUAAGGACUACAGUUGAUGGAAAGAAAACUGUGGCAAUAUUUAUUAGGAAUAAUCUGUAAGACAAGAACAAAAACUGUGUCCACAUGUGUUGUGGUGAUUGAAGUAAGAUAAGGGACAAACGGAUUAUAUAGGAUUAGUUGAAGAGGACAUUUUUAUUCUGAAGAGAUGUCACAAGAGAAACCACAAUCAGCUUUUCAGUGUGAUAUCUGUAAAAAGACUUUCACUGAGAAAGAUAAUCUAAAUAAUCUCAGAUGUAUACAUUAGGGUAGAGCAAAAAAUGCAACUUUCGAAAUUGGCAACCAAGAAUCGAUAUUUUGUGGCGAAUUAGGGUCUAUAAAGGUGUAUAAAAAACUUUUCAGUUAAAUAUUUUUUCUGUCCCCGCAACACAACUGAAAAUUUUAAAAACUGAUAUUUUGGGUCGAAUUUUGGAUUCCGUGGAUUGUAAGUCAUAACGAAUACAUAUUUCUACAUAGCAGAAUGCAAAACAGUGAUUGUAGCAUCAUUAAAAGGUUGCAGACCAAGUUUCAAUACAAUUGAUUAAUAUCUUCAGGUUCUUCAUUGACUAUAAAUAGAACGGGAGUGUAAACUUCUCCUCAGUGCCGCUGCGGUGGUCAUUGCAUGUGGACGUAUGUAGUACGUGUGUGAAGUUUUCUGCUUUGUACCUUGACUUUAGGCCAUUGUAUUAGAAUUAAUGAUCGUGCUAAAUUCAGUGAUGACACAUAAGCCGAUAAUGCGUUAUGAAUGUCCAAUAUUUGGUACUCCGUGUGAUCUUAGAGAGCAGGUUUUGCCAACUUACAAGGACGUAUUAAAGUGUGUUUUAUUUGAACGAGAAAAAGAAAAAAGUGUAAUUAAGAAAGAUCCGUCAAUUAAACAAAUUGUGAAGAUUGUAGCAGAAAAGAUCAUUCAUCUUUGGCGAAAGGCAUCCAUCCCUUGUGUUACGAUUCAGUCAGUUAAACCGAAAAUCUUAAACUUUUAUCUAAAGUACCAAGGAUUACUAAAAUCUGUGAAAAAUAGGAAAAAUGUGCCAUCGUUUCAAACAAAGUGUAAUGCGUUUAAAAACAAUGCAACAAAAAAUUUAUUUGACAUUUCCUGUUGCAAGUGCAGCUCCUUU